rnacentral:rRNA from 1 species
GAUGAACGCUGGCGGCGUGCCUAAUACAUGCAAGUCGAGCGAACGGACGAGAAGCUUGCUUCUCUGAUGUUAUCGGCGGACGGGUGAGUAACGCGUGGAUAACCUACCUAUAAGACUGGGAUAACUUCGGGAAACCGGAGCUAAUACCGGAUAAUAUUUUGAACCGCAUGGUUCAAAAGUGAAAGACGGUCCUGCUGUCACUUAUAGAUGGAUCCGCGCUGCAUUAGCUAGUUGGUAAGGUAACGGCUUACCAAGGCAACGAUGCAUAGCCGACCUGAGAGGGUGAUCGGCCACACUGGAACUGAGACACGGUCCAGACUCCUACGGGAGGCAGCAGUAGGGAAUCUUCCGCAAUGGGCGAAAGCCUGACGGAGCAACGCCGCGUGAGUGAUGAAGGUCUUCGGAUCGUAAAACUCUGUUAUUAGGGAAGAACAUAUGUGUAAGUAACUGUGCACACCUUGACGGUACCUAAUCAGAAAGCCACGGCUAACUACGUG